rnacentral:lncRNA from 1 species
UUCUUCUUUUUUAAUGUUAACCAAGGAAAAGACUAAGGAUAAAGUUUAACGUUAUACAAUUGGAACAUACUCCCUCUGUUGUUCUUGAAACUAGUAUUUUCUAGAUUUAUUUUUUGUUCCAAAAUGAUAAAUUGUCUAAAAUUUUAAAGUAUUUUUAGUAGUUAAUGUUGAAAAGUUGUAUAUUUUUAAAAAACAUUAAUUGAAAAUAUUUGAAUUGAUUGAAUACUAUUGGUUAAUAUUUAUUGGAAAAUGUAUAGUAAAAUAAAUAAUAA